GGGGAUAUAGCUCAACUGGGAGAGCGCCUGCCUUGCACGCAGGAGGUCGGGGGUUCGAAUCCCCCUAUCUCCA
rnacentral:tRNA from 1 species